CUUUUAUUGAAAUAUCAAAUUGCGUGUUGCUAGAAAGUCACUUUUCUAAUGACGCCGUCGAAGGAAGUCGAAGAAAAAGGGGACGCAUAGGCAAUUUUUAUACAUUAUACCAAAAUGAAUGGAUAUAAUUUUCGGUUAAAAAUUUAUUUAAUUGGUACGAAGUGUUCUCAAAUUAUUGGUACAGAGCUACGAUCGAAAAAACAAGUGUUGUCAGUUUUUUUACAAUCAUAAUAUAGUGAAGUUAUCAAUACGUGAAAAUGCUAGAUUAGCUGUAAUGGAAGCGUCUGUGUUUUGGAAAAAAGCUAAAAUUCCAACUAAAAGUGAACAACAUCGCUUAGUGAAAAAUUAGAUGAUUUAUUUGUUAUUGCUCAUAUUAAUGCAUUAGAAAUAAUUAAAAUUUAAUCCGACAAACAAUUUUUAAUAAACCAACGUAAAAAGGAGCGACCAGGAUGUCUUUGUGGAAUUGAUACUAAAACUAUGCAGAAGUUGGAAAGAAAGGCAAACAAUACACAGUGAUAGCUUGCGCAUUGUCUUCAAGCAGUGAUGACGGCAAACAACUUCAGAAAGCGAAAUUGAGUACAGACUUAUCCAAUGCCCCUAUAUCAGCAAACGAGGAAAAAAACUUUUUAAUGAAAAUGUGGGUUUAAUGAAAUGGUGGCUAUGCACAUUGUUGCCGUCUCUCUGGGGUAUAAUGCAAAUGAAUUGGUAAUAAAUUGCACAUCAUUGCAGCGGCAAAUACAUUUAAGCUGGAUUAAAAAGUCGCAAAAAAUCAAAAACAACUUAAUGAUGAACCGCGGUACUUUGCAUUUAGAUGGAAAACUCCUACCGGAAAAAACAGGCCGUAAAAAAGUAGAACGACGAAACGGUAAUUGUUUCAUAUAAAACCGGUGAACAAUUAAUAAGAGCACCGAAGUUAUCGGCUGCAACUGAUUCCAAAAUCGCUGAUGCAUUUUAUGAACUUUUAUUUGAAUGGAAUUUAAAAGAGCUCGUUGUAGCCUGUUGCUUGGAUACAAUUUCGACAAAAACGGGCAUAAUUAAAGGGGUUGCAACAUUGUUAAAAAAAAGCAACUCGAACGAAAACUACUAUAUUUGCCUUACCGACAUCAUAUGUAUAAACUUUUACUGAGAGCAGUUUUCGAAUUGGAAGGGCGUUAACAUAAAAAGCGUCAAAGAUUUGCUACAAAAUGACGAUAAUUAAAUUUAUAAAUAAAA